rnacentral:rRNA from 1 species
GAUGAACGCUGGCGGCGUGCUUAACACAUGCAAGUCGAACGGUGAACGAGGGAGCUUGCUCCCUCCGGAUCAGUGGCGAACGGGUGAGUAACACGUGAGCAAUCUGCCCUGGACUCUGGGAUAAGCGUUGGAAACGACGUCUAAUACCGGAUACGAGGCGUGGGGGCAUCCCCAACGCCUGGAAAGAACUUCGGUCCAGGAUGAGCUCGCGGCCUAUCAGGUAGUUGGUGAGGUAACGGCUCACCAAGCCGACGACGGGUAGCCGGCCUGGGGGGGUGACCGGCCACACUGGGACUGAGACACGGCCCAGACUCCUACGGGAGGCAGCAGUGGGGAAUAUUGCACAAUGGGCGCAAGCCUGAUGCAGCAACGCCGCGUGAGGGACGACGGCCUUCGGGUUGUAAACCUCUUUUAGCAGGGAAGAAGCGAAAGUGACGGUACCUGCAGAAAAAGCACCGGCUAACUACGUGCCAGCAGCCGCCGUAAUAC